GAGACUGAGUGGUCGCGGGGUAUUUUAACUUCGAGGAAAGUCCGGACUCCACAAAGCGACGGUGCCGGGUAACGCCCGGGCGGGGUAACCCGACGGAAAGCGCCACAGAAAAAAAACCGCCUAAGUCAAGUGCUUGGGUAAGGGUGAAAAGGUGGAGUAAGAGCCCACCGGGUUGAUGGUAACAUGAACCGCAUGGCAAGCCCCACCGGGAGCAAUGCCGAAUAGGAGCCACGUGCGUUGAUUUAGCGUUAUGCGCUUUUAUUUUCGCGGAUUUGCUUUGAACUAGUGGUUCGGGUAGGCAGCUAGAGGUUCGUUGGUAACACCGAACUUAGAUGAAUGGCCAUUCAUAAAGGUUAAUCCUUUAGGACAGAAUCCGGCUUACAGGCCUCCC
rnacentral:RNase_P_RNA from 1 species